GGGUCGUUAGCUCAGUUGGUAGAGCAGUUGACUUUUAAUCAAUUGGUCGGCAGGUUCGAAUCCUGCACGACCCACCA
rnacentral:tRNA from 1 species